UAGUGUGUCGAUGAAGAGCGCAGCAAACUGUGUGAAUUAAUGUGAACUGCGUACUGCUUUGAGCAUCGACAUCUUGAACGCAUAUUGCGGCCAUGGGCUAGCCUGUGGCCACGCCUGUCCGAGGGUCG
rnacentral:rRNA from 1 species